rnacentral:rRNA from 1 species
AUUGAACGCUGGCGGCAGGCUUAACACAUGCAAGUCGAGCGGGGUGAUGGUGCUUGCACUAUCACUUAGCGGCGGACGGGUGAGUAAUGCUUAGGAAUCUGCCUAUUAGUGGGGGACAACAUCUCGAAAGGGAUGCUAAUACCGCAUACGUCCUGCGGGAGAAAGCAGGGGAUCACUUGUGACCUUGCGCUAAUAGAUGAGCCUAAGUCGGAUUAGCUAGUUGGUGGGGUAAAGGCCUACCAAGGCGACGAUCUGUAGCGGGUCUGAGAGGACGAGCCGCCACACUGGGACUGAGAGACGGCCCCGACUCCUACGGGAGGCAGCAGUGGGGAAUAUUGGAGAAUGGGGGGAACCCUGAUCCAGCCAUGCCGCGUGUGUGAAGAAGGCCUUAUGGUUGUAAAGCACUUUAAGCGAGGAGGAGGCUCUUUUGGUUAAUACCCAAGAUGAGUGGACGUUACUCGCAGAAUAAGCACCGGCUAACUCUGUGCCAGCCGCCGCCGUAA